rnacentral:rRNA from 1 species
GACGACGCUGGCGGCGUGGAUUAGGCAUGCAAGUCGAACGGUAUCAUCCUUUCGGGGGUGAGAGAGUGGCGAACUGGUGAGUAACACGUAGGUUAUCUACCCUCAAGACGGGGACAACCCAGGGAAACUUGGGCUAAUACCGGAUGUGAGCAACUUUUAGUUGUUUGAAAGGUGGCGUAAGCUGUCGCUUGGGGGAUGAGCCUGCGUCCUAUUAGUUAGUUGGUGAGGUAACGGCUCACCUAGGCAAUGAUAGGUAGGCGGCCUUAACGGGUGGUCGCCCACACUGGGAUUGAGAUACGGCCCAGACUCCUACGGGAGGCAGCAGUCGAGAAUAGUCUACAAUGGUCGGAAGACUGAUAGUGCGACGCCGCGUGAACGAUGAAUCCCUUCGGGGUGUAAAGUUCUUUUAUAUGUGAGCAGUGUCCUUUAUAUUAAUAGUAUAAGGGGAGAGAUAUUAGCGUAUGAAUAAGCAACGGCUAACUCCGUG